rnacentral:rRNA from 1 species
ACAGCAGUCGCCGCGGUAAUACGUAGGUGGCAAGCGUUGUCCGGAAUUAUUGGGCGUAAAGGGCUCGCAGGCGGUUUCUUAAGUCUGAUGUGAAAGCCCCCGGCUCAACCGGGGAGGGUCAUUGGAAACUGGGAAACUUGAGUGCAGAAGAGGAGAGUGGAAUUCCACGUGUAGCGGUGAAAUGCGUAGGGAUGUGGAGGAACACCAGUGGCGAAGGCGACUCUCUGGUCUGUAACUGACGCUGAGGAGCGAAAGCGUGGGGAGCGAACAGGAUUAGAUACCCCGGUAGUCCCUGUCUCUUAUAC